rnacentral:rRNA from 1 species
GAUGAACGCUGGCGGCGUGCCUAAUACAUGCAAGUCGAGCGAACAGACGAGGAGCUUGCUCCUCUGACGUUAGCGGCGGACGGGUGGGUAACACGUGGAUAACCUACCUAUAAGACUGGGAUAACUUCGGGAAACCGGAGCUAAUACCGGAUAAUAUAUUGAACCGCAUGGUUCAAUAGUGAAAGACGGUUUUGCUGUCACUUAUAGAUGGAUCCGCGCCGCAUUAGCUAGUUGGUAAGGUAACGGCUUGCCAAGGCAACGAUGCGUAGCCGACCUGAGAGGGUGAUCGGCCACACUGGAACUGAGACACGGUCCAGACUCCUACGGGAGGCAGCAGUAGGGAAUCUUCCGCAAUGGGCGAAAGCCUGACGGAGCAACGCCGCGUGAGUGAUGAAGGUCUUCGGAUCGUAAAACUCUGUUAUUAGGGAAGAACAAAUGUGUAAGUAACUAUGCACGUCUUGACGGUACCUAAUCAGAAAGCCACGGCUAACUACGUG